rnacentral:rRNA from 1 species
UACAGAGGAGCCAAGCGUUGUCCGGAUUGACUGGGCGUAAAGCGCACGCAGGCGGACGCGCGCGUGGGGUGUGAAAUCUGGCCGCUUAACGGCCAGCGGCCAUCCCAUACGGCGGGUCUGGAGCGAUGCAGAGGUCGGUGGAAUUGCCGGUGUAGUGGUGAAAUGCGUAGAGAUCAGGAAGAACAUCGGUGGCGAAGGCGCUCUGCUGGGCCAUAACUGACACUCAGGGACGAAAGCUAGGGGAGCGAAUGGG